rnacentral:rRNA from 1 species
UACAGAGGGUGCGAGCGUUAAUCGGAAUUACUGGGCGUAAAGCGUGCGUAGACGGUCAAGUAAGUCGGGUGUGAAAGCCCCGGGCUCAACCUGGGAAUUGCAUUCGAGACUGCGUGGCUAGGGUGCGGAAGAGGCGAGUGGAAUUCCCGGUGUAGCGGUGAAAUGCGCAGAUAUCGGGAGGAACAUCUAUUGCGAAGGCAGCUCGCUGGGACGUCACUGACGCUGAGACGCGAAAGCGUGGGGAGCAAACAGG